CUCUUCUCAAACAUCUCCUGGACAUCUUGCAGCCUCUGAAGCGCCUUCUGGACAUUGCUCUAUGUAGAGGGACACAAGGAGCAUUUUAGCUUGAUGCGAAUGCUUUUUGCAGAUUCAGCUGCAACAAUAAAUGAAUCUAAAAAUAAAGGA